CUGUCAUCACAGUCGAAGUGUCUCUCUCUCUCAGUGCCACGCAAAUCUCCAAAGCCGUCUGCCUUACGCCUCCUCCUCAGAUUAACCAUACGCUUUGAUGGCGGGAAUACGGUUGCAACCGGAAGAAGCCGACCUCACGCAGCACCAAACCCGAGCUGCCACUGGUGAUCUGGUUUCGGAUGACGAGAGGUCUGUGGCUGCCGAUUCCUGGUCCAUAAAGAGUGACUACGGAAGUACUCUCGACGACGAUCAACGCCAUGCUGAUGCUGCCGAAGCUCUAUCCUCCGCCAACUUCCGUGCCGCUUCUGAUUACAACUCUGACAAGGAGGAAGCAGAUGGUGAAGGGGUG
rnacentral:misc_RNA from 1 species